rnacentral:lncRNA from 1 species
CUGAAUCUUGAGCAGAUUGGUCAUUGGAUUUCGCAGGGCCAUCACGGUGUUUUCUCUUGGUAGAUUUUGAUGGUUCCCCUGCUUCAGGCAGAGAGCUUCUGUUUCUGCUAUUGGAAGGAGUAUAGGCACUCGCUGUUCGCAUACUCCGAGUCGCAGAGAGCUUUUGUUUCUGCUAUUGGAAGGAGUAUAGGCACUCGCUGUUCGCAUACUCCAAGUCCUGUUACUUUGAGUAGGAGUUGCAAAGCGCCGAGAUGAAUUGGUCACUGUAGUAGCAGAUGACCGCCGAGCCAUCUGCUUCAAGUUUAUGCUAUUCUGUUUAAGCUCACUUGGCUCUGGGUAAUGGAUAAGGGAAACACGCCGUGAAAUUUUGCCAGCUGCCAAAACAUGCAAAAGCAUCAGAAUUGGUGUGCCUAACCAUCUCACAUGAUGCUCGACAAAGUUAACAGUGUGAGGGGGGGGAGAAGAUGCAUCUGAAGGAACCUCGUGUGCAUAUGAGACAAAAAGUUUAUUGUCCAAGUAAAAAGAUCAUAUU